GCCAGGUGCAGUGGUGCACACCUGUAAUCCCAGGGGCUUGGGAGGCUGAGGCAGGAGGAUCGUGAAUUCAAAGCCAGCCUCAGCAAUUUAGCAAGGUCCUAACCAACUCAGUGAGAUGCUGUCUCUA
rnacentral:sRNA from 1 species